rnacentral:misc_RNA from 1 species
UAACACCCUAGCUAGCCAACAACAAAGAAGCCAUACUAAAGCGCACACGAUGGGUUGACAGUCAUUCACACAGACAAAUCAAAGCCAUGAGGNCUAAAGGCACUCAACCAAUAAUGCAUGCUGCAUCCACGAGCACUCAAGGCACCAAUGGUCUUAUUAUUUUGAGAGAUGGGGUAAAAUCCAUGCAAUCAUCCAAAAGGCCAUAGGCGCCACCAUGCACCCACUCCUAUACCGCACAAAACGGAGGGAGGGGAGAGAGAUUAUAGCAACGAGUCAUAUUUCUCUUAUGAAAGACUAUGUACAUAGUACAGGCAAAUUUUGUGGCACCAACAACAAAAAUGGACCAUAUAAUGAAGGAUUGCAUUAAUUUCGGUUGGGUGCACAAGGCACAGAGCCCGCCAUUAUAUGCAACUAUUAAACAACUUAUGUGCCGACACGGUCAUUCC